rnacentral:lncRNA from 1 species
UAUGGAAAUAGUAAAACAGAGGGACAUAUGGUGGACCAGGGGUGAAGGAAACGGAGUUUGGACCCAAGGCGCACAAGGCCCAAUCCGGAAUUGAAGGGGAAAAGAAAAAUUAGAGCAACUGCAAAAAUCACGUGUAACACACUUUCCACGUUUUCCACAUGCUCUCAGAUUCAAACAAACUUCUUCUCCCUCCUCUCUCCCUUCACCACACUAGAGCUCACCAACAGAGGCGGUGGAGCAAUCAAUCACUAAAUCAUCUAUGCCAAAACACUCCAAUUCUCAUGCUCUAACAAAAUCCACAAUCAAAAUCUCCUGAAACCUCGUAAAAUUUCCAGAUCGAGAGAAAUCAUUCAAGAACCCUAGGCUAUUGCAACAAAAAUUAAAUGACGAAUAAGAGGAAUCAAAGACCCUGAUGUUAGGGCUUUGACUCCUUGGAUCUCACUCUACAUGAUCGUAAUAAGGAUGAAAGGAAUCAAUAAGAAAAAAAUACCUCUGAAGUGGAGAAUUGCUCCAACAAGUUGUUGAAUCGGAGAAGACGCUUGCAGCGAUAGAAAAUCACUUGAAUAAGGUGCUUCUUGCUCCUAUUUUCUUCUUCUGUUUCUUUUCUUCUUCUUCCAUCUUCUGAGAUCGAGUGAGAGUUUCAAAGAGGUUGCAGAGAGUGGAUUGUGAGGGUGAAGUUGCUCUGAGAUUCGUGAGGCUGAGCUUUACUUCAUCGGAGCUUUAGUGGAGUAUUUCGAAGGAGCUUUGUGUGAGGGCGUGAAUUGAGUGAGAGAGAAUUUAGAGAGUGAGAAGAUGAAUCUGAAGUUCUAAGGAUGAAUCAAUUUUUAUUACCUCUGUUAGUUCAAUUGGAUCCAAAGUUAGUUAAGGGUGAAUCACGGUGUUAGUUCCAGUUAGUUAGGCUAGUUAUGCUUGUGAAAUUCUAUUAGAGAAACAUGAAAGUUCAGUUAACUGAGUUUGGCUGUUAAAAGUUAACUGACUCAAGUUAAAAUGUUAGUUCCAAUUUCUGUUAGUGGAAAAAUGCCCAGUUAAGCGAGGUUAACUAUUAGAUGUUAGUUAGUGUAGGUUAAAUUUUUUCGUGGUAAAAAUGGAAAUUAGUUAGGCUCGAUUUCAAUUAAGUUAGUGAGUGUGAAAUGAUUUCAGUUAAAUGCUUGAAUGGAGUAAUUUUUCUGUUAGGUAAAAAAGAGGUUAAUUCCUGUUAGUUGGUGCAAUAUUAACUUUUAGUUGGUUAUGGAUGUUAGAUGGAAGGUUCAGUUACAAGUUAGUGUUAAUGUUAAGUCUUGUUGCAUUGCUGUUAAUUUGCUUCUAAUGCAUUGCCUUGGUUCAUGGUGAUUUAUUGUUAUAUUGAUGUUGAAUGUGUUGUUGCAGGAUGUUGCCAUGGUCAUGAAUGUGUGAUGAAGGAUGUUACCAUGAUGAUGAUGAACCAAGGCUAAAAGUUCUUGGAUAGUGCAAAUUGACUCAUGGCAGGGAAAAGAAAUGCUUGUUGCCGCAGAUGAUUACUGAUGAUGAUGAUCUGAUAUUGCAGGUCCCUAUAUUAAGAUGAAAAUUAUGUAGGUUGUAGCAUGAUGUAUGUAUUUGGUAAGCUCAUGCCAUGGUGAGUCUUGCAAGUGUUGUUAGCUGAUGUACAAUAUGUCUGCUCAUGUAUUGUUGCUAUGUUUGCCAUGAAUGUGCAUGUUAUGCCUUAAUAUGCAUUACUUGGUUUAAUGUUUGGAUGUCUGCCCCAAGUUUAGGUUCACUUGCAUUGCAUGCUUGUAUUGGAUUCAUGGAUGCAUGUAUUGAUUAUAAUGAGUGCAUGGCUGCUGGUUUCUGGCAUUGUACAUGAUGGAAAGGCAAAGCUUGGCAUGAGCAACAAAGCCUGACAAAGUUCAAGGAAAGACAAAUCAAAUGGAUGCAAAAUCAGAUUUCUUGCUCAUGAAGAAACAUAAUGAUGGAAACUCAAGAAAUGAUGCAAGAAUGAGAAUGUAAUUAGUAUUAGGGUUUUAAGGAUGGAAAAAUGUGAUAAUUGACUUUGGUUAACUGGUUGACCAAAAGUCAACUUUUGAUAAAAAAUGAUUUUUUUUUAUAUUUUGUAAUGGACAAUGUACAUGCUAAUGAAUGAAUGAAAACACCUUUAUUUAAUUAGAAUGAUCAUUAUGUUUAAAUGUAAACAAAUUGAUUUCAAAAUGAACUUUGC